AGCGCCCAACAGCAACAAAGACAUGAAGCCCUCCAAUAGCACGGCCCCUAACAGCGACCACGCUCGUAAGGGUGUCAGAAAAUGGCAGGGCGGGUCCAGGAAGGCAGGGCUGGGGGGCCGGCCGAUCCGGACGCGGGUUCUAUGUCGCUGCCUGGCAGGGAGGGAGCUGGAGGAGGCGGCGCGCACACUGGGCGACAAGUGGGAGAGGAAGCUGCUCCUGGCCCCCGGGAGGGCCCUCUGCAGGGUCUGGACCAGGCCGGCCGCUCUCUGGGCCGGAGAGGGGUUUGGGGCGUCGCCGUCACCGAGAGGGACGGGCGCGGGCACCCGGGUGCGGGCUUGCGGCGGGGUGGGCGCGCCGGGCUGCGGCGCAGAGCCGGGAGCCGGGCGCCUCCUGUGGGCGGCUGUUGGCACUGGCAGCAGAGGAGGGGCCUGGAAGGAGAGUGAGGGGAGAAGCCGUGCGGGCCGCUGGGGCACCGCGAGGAACGGGACAGGGCGCCGAGGAGUGACAGAGGGACGGGGAGCAGAGGGAUACCGCGGACGCUGCCCAGGCUGAACCUGCCCCGGGCGCCCGAGCCGCGUUGGCACCGAGUGUGCCCCCAGCAGGAGGCGCGGAAGAGCAGACCCCGCACGGCCCGCCCGCCGCCCCUCGUCCACCCGGACACCCUCUCAGGCCGCCCCACCGUGCCCCCGAGCCCGAGGCCUGGCGACGUCAGAGGCCUGUGACGCGCGCGCUCACGGUGGCGCGGGCGGAGGCGGCGGGGCGCGGGCUCCCUCGGGGAGGUCCCUGUCCAGGCCGCCCGCAGCCGCUGCGUCCUUGGCCCGCCUCCAGGGGAACCUGGGUUUUCCGAAUUCGGGAAGGCUGGCUGUCCUCCGGCUACUGAUAAGGACGGGCUCGAAGGGUAAAAGAUCUUAACAAUGCCCGGAAAGAAACAGCCGAGCCGAGAUAGAACUAAUGAUAGCCGCCGGCGCGAGCUCUGCUAGCACGCUCAGCGCUCUUAGGAACAAUAAUGACGACAACAGCCACCAUUUAUUGAGCGCUCUCUCUGUACCAGGCACGGUGCUGAGCGCUUUGCAGGCGACAAUCCUCGGAGCUGCAAAUGACAGAAAACCCCAAUGUUUGAGUAGCAGCGGCUUACGCAUGUUAAUUUCCCUACCUGCCUGGCCCCUGCCUCGUGGCCCAAAGUGGCUGCUCAUAUCCACACUCAGAAAGCUGAAGGAGGAAGAAACAAAGAAGAGGGCAGCUUCUCUUUCAGCACACACUCCUCACAGUCCUACGUUGGAACCUGCCUACAGUGUGGCAGUGGGAAGUCUGGACUGGGUGCAGCCUGGGAGCCGGCAGUGAAGAGUACAGGAAAGGAACAGGAGAAGACCACGAGGCGUCAGGAGCUCCGGAUAGCUGGCCUGGUGAGGGGCCUGCUCACCCUGUGUUUGGUUCAGUGAACGCUUCUGACCCUUCCUUGGACCGUGUCCCGUGCCAGUCCUGGGCAGAUCCCUGCCCUUCGGGAGUCAGCCAGCUCUAAAUUCUCAAACGCCACAGCUUAACUGGGACAGGUGCCUACAGGACAUGACCCUGGAGCCACACUCCAAAAGCUGAUGCUGUAGAUUGGGGCAGCCCAGAACACUUCAGCCUCCCCGGGUGACGCUGAGGGGUUACUGGGGAGAGACAUCAGCCCUCCUGCAGGACAUGGAAAUGGUGGCGGGGGGGGGGGUGUCAUCCAGGCCUUUGAACUCAAAUCUCAGCUCCACCUUUUGUAGCUGCAACCUCUCAUGAGUUAACCUCUAUUAGUCUUAGUUUCCUUGUCUGUAAAAUAGGGAUAAUCUUACGCUUUUCAUGAGAAAGUGCCAUAAAUGUCAGAGAGCUUAGCAGAGAGGUACCCCAUGAAUGCUAGAUAUUGUUGUUAAAUUAAUUAAAAUUCAUGCGUUCAUUUAAAUUGUUUCUAGGAAGAUGAUUAUAGUAAGGGACCAGAAACGAGGUCCCAGGCACUGCUUCAUGUCCCAGGCACUACCUGACUCCUGGUGAUAGACACCCCGCAGUGGGUUCCAUCAGCAUUGUCCUCAUCUUCUUCAUCCACAUUUGCAGUCUAGGCCUCAGGAGCUCUGCAGCUGUCCCCACCUCACAACCUUAGAAAUAGAAAUGGCAGCUGGGAGCAGUGCCCCACCCUUGUCAAUCCCAGCACUCAGGAGGCUGAGGCAAGAGGAUCACUGAGAGUUUGAGGCCAGCCUGGGCUACAUAGUGAGACUCUGUCUCAAACCACCUCCCCUCCAAAAAGAGAGAAACAAAGAGAAAUCAUGGCUUUCAGACCUUGAAAGUGUGAGCUUAGUGUCCACUCUGCCUGCCUGCCCAGCAGGAAAGAGAUGCUCUCCGCUCCUUCUAGACGGAUGUCCAAGGCAGACAGGCAAGAUGAGGAUGAGGGAAACCCAAAGUCCCUCCUUUCGACUCUCUGCUUCUGGGGGAGCCCAGUCCCAGCCCCCCACCCUGAGGGUCAGGGAGCUGUGGGGGCCCAAGUUUGCCUUGCGGUGAGAAGGAACACACAGGGCCGCUGCUGAUAAUGACAUUUUCAAGUGCUCGUGGAUGGCAUGGUUGCCAUGGUGAUGCUGAUGGCUCUGAGCAAGCUGCGCCUUCUCUGGAGUUGAGUCAGGUUCAGCUGCAUUUUUUACAAAAUAAAACCAACACUCUGAC
ensembl:lncRNA